rnacentral:rRNA from 1 species
UACGUAGGGUGCGAGCGUUGUCCGGAAUUACUGGGCGUAAAGAGCUCGUAGGUGGUUUGUCGCGUUUGUCCGUGAAAACUCACAACUCAAUUGUGGGCGUGCGGGCGAUACGGGCAGACUGGAGUACUGCAGGGGAGACCGGAAUUCCUGGUGUAGCGGUGGAAUGCGCAGGAUAUCAGGAGGAACACCGGUGGCGAAGGCGGGUCUCUGGGCAAUUCCUGACGCUGAGGCGCGAAAGCGUGGGGAUCAAACAGG